UUAUACUAGGCAGAGUAACAAUAGGACACGAAGUCCCUUAGAAGGAUAACUGCCUCACUCUUACAAUUACACUAAAAUCAAAGUCAGUCAACAAGUACAUAAAUUCAUGGUGUUGACACUACGACAUUUUGGACAAAUAAUUUUGUACGACCUGAUGUUGUUCCCAUCAAACACUGAUCGUAACCUUUCAAAAUAGAAUUCUUUCAACUUCACUCUAAACUCAGUUAAGGAACUACUAGCCUUAAUAUUAGAGAGUUUAAGUUCGACUUCCAAUACCGAUGUUUUCACUUCCGUUCUCAUUUUGGUACCGGGAAUUUUAAAGCGUUAAGUUAUCACGACAGAUAAA